GAAUUUUCCGCAAUGGGCGAAAGCCUGACGGAGCAAUACCGCGUGAGGGAUGAAGGCCUUUGGGUUGUAAACCUCUUUUAUCAAGGAGGAAGUUCUGACGUGUACUUGAUGAAUAAGCAUCGGCUAACUACGUGCCAGCAGCCGCGGUAAGACGGAGGAUGCAAGUGUUAUCCGGAAUCACUGGGCGUAAAGCGUCUGUAGGUGGUUUAAAAAGUCCACUGUUAAAGGUUGAAGCUUAACUUCAAAAAUGCCGUGGAAACUUUUAAACUUGAGUAUGAUAGGGGUAGAGGGAAUUCCAGUGGAGCGGUGAAAUGCGUAGAUAUUGGAAAGACCACCGAUGGCGAAGGCACUCUACUGGGCCAUUACUGACACUGAGAGACGAAAGCUAGGGGAGCAAAUGGG
rnacentral:rRNA from 1 species